CACAGCAGUGUUAUCACCUUUUAACCUGGUCUUGUCAGACCUCAGAAGCCAAGUAAGGCUGAACUUCAUCCGUACUGGGUUGGGAGACCCCCGGGAAAGAGUAAAGAAGCUUCUAUUU
rnacentral:rRNA from 1 species